rnacentral:rRNA from 1 species
GUAGGGAAUUUUCCACAAUGGGGGCAACCCUGAUGGAGCAACGCCGCGUGCAGGAUGAAUGCCUUCGGGUUGUAAACUGCUUUUAUAUGUGACGAAUAUGACGGUAGCAUAUGAAUAAGGAUCGGCUAAUUCCGUGCCAGCAGCCGCGGUCAUACGGAAGAUCCAAGCGUUAUCCGGAAUUACUGGGCGUAAAGAGUUGCGUAGGUGGCAUUGUAAGUCUGUAGUGAAAGCGUCUCGCUCAACGAGAUAAACAUUAUGGAAACUGCAAAGCUAGAGGGCGAGAGAGGUUACUAGAAUUCCUUGUGUAGGAGUGAAAUCCGUAGAUAUAAGGAGGAAUACCGAUGGCGUAGGCAGGUAACUGGCUCGUCCCUGACACUAAGGCACGAAAGCGUGGGGAGCGACCGGGAUUAGAUACCCCGGUAGUCC